rnacentral:rRNA from 1 species
UGGGGAAUUUUGGACAAUGGGCGCAAGCCUGAUCCAGCCAUUCCGCGUGCAGGAUGAAGGCCCUCGGGUUGUAAACUGCUUUUGGACGGAACGAAAAGGCCUUUUCUAAUACAGAGGGCUCAUGACGGUACCGUCAGAAUAAGCACCGGCUAACUACGUGCCAGCAGCCGCGGUAAUACGUAGGGUGCGAGCGUUAAUCGGAAUUACUGGGCGUAAAGCGUGCGCAGGCGGUGAUGUAAGACAGGUGUGAAAUCCCCGGGCUUAACCUGGGAACUGCAUUUGUGACUGCAUCGCUGGAGUGCGGCAGAGGGGGAUGGAAUUCCGCGUGUAGCAGUGAAAUGCGUAGAUAUGCGGAGGAACACCGAUGGCGAAGGCAAUCCCCUGGGCCUGCACUGACGCUCAUGCACGAAAGCGUGGGGAGCAAACA